rnacentral:rRNA from 1 species
UUAAAGGAAUUGACGGGGACCCGCACAAGCGGUGGAUGAUGUGGAUUAAUUCGAUGCAACGCGAAGAACCUUACCUACCCUUGAAAUGUAUCUGCAUGCCCUAUGAAAAUAGGGAGGCCUUCGAGGGUGAUACACAGGUGCUGCAUGGCCGCCGUCAGCUCGUGUCGUGAGAUGUAGGGUUAAGUCCCGAAACGAGCGCAACCCCUAUUCUAUGUUACAAGUGUCUUAGAAAACCGCCUCGGUAAAACGAGGAGGAAGGUGGGGAUGACGUCUGGUCCGCAUAGCCCUUAUGUCCUGGGCUACACACGCGCUACAAUGGCCGAUACAGUAGGAAGCCAAAUCGUAAGAUGGAGCUAAUCCUUAAAGUCGGUCUCAGUUCGGAUUGAGGUCUGAAAUUCGACCUCAUGAAGUUGGAUUUGCUAGUAAUCGUAGAUCAGCAAUGCUACGGUGAAUACGUUCUCGGGUCUU